GAGCCACCUGACAAUUCACUCCAGCACAGAAACUGAAGGAAGGCGUUCCCCAACCUGCUGUCCUAGGAAGACCUCUGAGUCGCCGGUGCUAAAGCCCUUCCCUCUCCACCCUCCUGAGGUGGAGGUAAACGUCCCAACAGGAAGUCAGGGCUGGACUGGCGCUCUGCGCGAGCAUCCUGGGAAGGGCACUCUGGGUCACGGGUGCUAGAGCCCUCCCCUCUCCUCCCGGCCGGUGUGUGGGAAACUGUCCCCGCAGACAGUAAAGGCUGACCAGGCCGCCCCGGCACGUAGAGGGAAUGAGUCAGGCUCCGUCUCCAUACCCGCACGUAGUGGGCGGAUCGCGCCAGCGCUGAGUAGGAAGGAGUUUCAGCCGCCAGACGGGAACGCAAAUCUCCUGAAAAGUACAUCAAGUCUAAAGUGAACCAGCGAACUCAGCAAGGCUGGAACCAUGAGCAGUAAUGGAGCAGAUCUAACCUUUGGUUACACCUCCUGUUUUGUAGCUAUCCUUUUGUUUGGCUCAAAUUUUGUGCCACUUAAAAAAUUUGACACUGGUGAUGGAAUGUUUCUCCAGUGGGUUCUUUGUGCUGCCAUAUGGUUGGUUGCCUUGGUGGUCAAUCUGAUAUUACAUUGCCCAAAAUUUUGGCCUUUUGCGAUGCUAGGGGGCUGCAUUUGGGCAACAGGGAACAUUGCUGUUGUCCCAAUUAUCAAAACCAUUGGUUUAGGCCUUGGAAUCUUAAUCUGGGGAUCAUUUAAUGCCUUAACUGGCUGGGCAAGCUCAAGGUUUGGCUGGUUUGGACUGGAUGCAGAAGAAGUAUCAAAUCCGCUGCUAAAUUACAUUGGAGCUGGGCUAUCCGUAGUAAGUGCUUUCAUAUUUUUAUUCAUCAAAAGUGAAAUACCAAAUAACACGUGUUCUGUGGAUACCACUCCAUUAAUAACAGAGCAUGUGAUCAACAAAACUCAGCACCCCUGUUCCUGGGUGGAUAAACUUUCUACAGUACACCACCGCAUAGUGGGCUGCAGUCUUGCCGUGAUAUCUGGAGUACUCUAUGGAUCUACAUUUGUGCCAAUCAUCUAUAUCAAGGACCACAGCAAAAGAAACGAGAGUAUAUAUGCAGGGGCAAGCCAAUAUGAUUUAGACUACGUUUUUGCACACUUCAGUGGCAUCUUUCUUACAAGUACUGUCUACUUUCUGGCCUACUGCAUAGCCAUGAAAAAUGGUCCUAAACUAUAUCCUGAAGCAGUCCUACCAGGAUUCCUCUCAGGAGUACUUUGGGCAAUAGCUACCUGCUGUUGGUUCAUAGCAAAUCACUCUCUGAGUGCUGUGGUCAGUUUUCCUAUAAUCACUGCUGGUCCAGGAUUUAUAGCUGCAAUGUGGGGUGUCUUCAUGUUUAAGGAAAUAAAGGGCCUACAAAACUACCUAUUAAUGAUACUUGCAUUUUGCAUCAUCUUGACUGGAGCCUUAUGCACUGCUUUUUCUAAAAUCUAACAAUAACAAGACCAGCAGAUGGCAGCAGUGGUUAAGAGAAUACGUCUACGGGACGAGGGAUUACGCUGAGAACAGAGUGCGUUUUCACAAAGCAAAUGGAUCUCAGCCACUGUUAGAGUGGGUGAAUGACUUUUUCCCCAAAAAUGUGAGAAUGAAGGAAAACUGAGUUUCAUUCAAGUAUAAAAUGAAAAUUUCUUCUGAUGGACUGUUUUUGAAGUCUAAUGAUGUCACAGGAAGAAAGAUGUCUUUGAUGCAAAUGAGUUAGAGAAGUGUGUGAAGCAGGCUGUAGGGUUCAGAGCCUUUUGGAACCAACCCAAAUGCCCAUCAAUGAGAGACUGGACAGGGAAAAUGUGGCACAUAUACACCAUGGAAUAUUAUGCAGCCAUCAAAAAUGAUGAGUUUGUGUCCUUUCUAGUGACAUGGAUGAAACUGGAAACCAUCAUUCUCAGCAAACUGACACAAGAACAGAAAAUCAAACACCACAUGUUCUGACUCAUAGGUGGGUGUUGAACAAUGAGAACACAUGGACACAGGGAGGGGAGCAUCACACACUGGGGUAUGUUGGGGGGGAAAUAGGGGAGGGACAGCAGGGGACGGGGAGUUGGGGAGAGAGAGCAUGGGGAGAAAAGCCAGAUAUAGGUGAAGCGGAGGAAGGCAGCAAAUCACGCUGCCAUGUGUGUACCUAUGCAACAGUCUUGCAUGUUCUUCACAUGUACCCCAAAACCUAAAAUGCAAUUUAAAAAACUGCCUUUUGUUAUAGCAGUGUUCGCCAUGACCUUUAUGAUAAAGAGGAAAGGGAUCAUCCCCUUUUUACCCCUAUACCCCCAAGUGAGGAGGACAUGGCGUAGAGCCACAGCCAUACUUAAAGGGUAUAUAACGUGAACAAAAAUAAGUGUUUGUUGUAAGUAACUACAAUUUGUGAUCCAUUUAUUUCUAUAUAAUAAUCUGGUAGGAUAUGUCUAUAUGUGAUUUGAAAAUCCUAAACAGAUUAUUUAUGAUUAUUUUACUCAAUACUUAGUUUCAUCUUUUAACCUAAGCAUGUUAUGCAGGACAUAGUAUAGAUUAUAUGUUUGAUAAAAAAUUAUGGAAUGUUUUCUUUUAUCUGAUUAGUCAUAGUUAUAGUACUAUUACUGUUAAAUUCAGUAUUUAUCAAUAACCUGCACUCAACAGUUUUGGUGCAUUCUUGUAGUAGUGUUUAUUUGUUUUCCAAUAAUGGAAGAAGCACGUUCAUACUAUAGACAAUUUGGAAGUGUAAAUGAGUAUUAAAAAGAAAACUACCACAUAUCAUCCCCCAAACUGAGAUUAUCAUUAACGUUUUAGUUUAUUUUCCAGCACUUCCUAAGGACAUUUGAGUUAUUUAAUCAUACUAUAUUGAACACUAUAUAUAGUAUUCAAUGUAUUUUUAUUUAUUUUUAUAUAAGUAUUUUCUAUAUUAUGAAAUGUGCUACAAAAUGUUUUGAUGAACAUGCACCAUUUCAAUAUAUCAAAGUCAUAAUUUCCCUCAUUCUUUCUGAUAUCAUUUGCAUCUGUGUACAUUCCAUUGUAAUCCCCCAUAUUGGAGGUGAGGCCCGGCAGGAGGUGACUGGAUCAUGGGGGUGGAGUUCUACUGAAUGGUUUGGCACCAUCUCCCUGUGGUACUACAUACAACAUCGUUCUCACUAUCACUUUAAAAAAGUGUGCAGUGAGAACUCACACUUUUAAAAGUUGUUUGAAAGUAUGUAGUACCUCCCACUUCUCUCUCUUGCUCCCACUCUGGCCAUGUCAGAUGGGUCCGCUUUCCCUUCACCUUCCGCCUGGAGGCUCCCUGAGGCCUCCCCAGAAGCAGAUGCCGUUAUGGUUCUUGUAUAACCUGCAGAACUGUGAACCGAUUAAUCCUCUUUUCUUUAUAAAUUACACAGUCUCAGGUAUUGCUUUUUUACUUCUGCACAAAUUAACCUUAGCAGGUUAAGGUAUUUCUUUAUAGCAAUGUGAGAACCAACUUCCACACUUUCCCAAUCAUAAGACACUUAGAUUGUUUCCAGUCAUCAUGAUCUAUAAUGCUGCCAUGAGUCCCUUUGUACUGACUCUUGUAAGCAUCUCUAAUUAUUUUCUUAUAUUAGAGUUUGGGAAGAUAAACUACAGAGUCAAAGACUACAAGCAAUUUUAAGACUUUUAAUAUAUUGUCAACUUGAUUAACAGUUAAGUUUUACCAACUUAUACACCCACAAGCACUUACUUCACUGCACGGUCACCGGCAUUGUACCUGAUAAUUACCUUAGUCUUUCCAGUUGGAAAAGCAAAACUAAGCUCAUUGCUGUAAUUUCCAUGUCUAAUGAGCUUGAACAUUUUCUUAUGCUUAUCAGCCAUUUUCUCUCCAUAUUCUUCAUGUUGUCAUCAUCUUAAUAUAAUUUGUUUUUUUAUUCAAAGCUCCCACCAACUUUCAAAUAAAUUUUCAAAAUGUAUCUCAUUUGAAAGUUAGAAGCUAACUGGCGGGGCGCAAUGGCUCAUGCCUGUAAUCCUAGAACUUUGGGAGGCCUAGGUGGGAGGAUCACAAGGUCAGGAGUUCGAGACCAGCCUGGCCAAUAUGGUGAAACUCCGUCUCUACUAAAAAUACAAAAAUUAGCCCGGCGUGGUGGUGCACGCCCAUAGUCCCAGCUACUUGGGAGGCUGAGGCAGGAGAAUUGCUUGAAUCUGGGAGGUGGAGGUUACAGUAAGCCAAGAUCACAUCACUGCACUCCAGCUUUGGUGACAGAGCAAGACUCCAUCUCAAAAAAAAGAAAGUUAGAAGCUAAUUAUACUAAGUAUAUGUUGGGGUGAAACUAGAGAAACCACAGUAGCAAAUCUGCUGUCAGAACCUUCUGCAAAGUUGGAAGUGUUCUGUACCAUCAAAUAUGGUAGUCCCUAGCCACAUGUGACUAUUGAGCACUGAAACUGUGGCCACUGUGACUGGGGAACUGAAUUUUUAAACUUUAUUCCAUUUUAGUUCAUAUACAUUUUAUUUUUCAGAGCCAUGUGUGGCUAGUGAUUACCAUAUUUGAUAGCACAAGCCAAGCAAUUUGCUUGUCUUAGGAAAUGGGUCAGCCUGGGCUUGAUUCCUGACCUACUAACUCCAUAAGCAACAGUUAAAAAAAGGAACACAAUCAAGGGUCAAACUACAAAGUGUGAGGCCGGCUCAGGGUACACAGAGGGCGUACUCAACAUUUCUUUGUUAGUUUUCAAUUGCUGUGACCAUGUCAACAUGGCACAUUUACUAUAACAGUAAUGAACAUUUUGAGUGCUUAUAAUGUGCCAGGGUGUGUCUCAAAUGCUUUUCUCUUAUUAAUGCAAUUUAAGCAAUAAGCCAAUGGCAUAGCUACUUUCAUUUUCUCCAUUUUACCGAUUAAAAAUUGAGGCACAAAAAGAUAUUGUCUAGGCACAUACAGCUAAUAAAGCCCAGAGCCAGCUACUCUGGCUCCAAAACCCAUGCUUUUACCCUUAUAUUGCCCUUGGCAUAUAGUCAUUAUGGAUACACAAUAUUUAUUGUACUUAAUGAAAUGAAAUAUGCUAUUGCCCAAAAUGCCUUUAAUAAGGGUCAAAUGAACUCUGUCUCUCCAAAGAAAUGUCUAAAUUAGCCGGGCAUGAUGGCACACACCUGUAGUCUCAGCUACUCAGGAGGCUGAGACAGGAGGAUUGCCUGAGCUCAGGAGGUCAAGGCUACAGUGAACCAUGAUCGUGCCACUGCACCCCAGCCUAGGGGACAGAGCCAGAUCGUGUCUGGAAAAAGAAAAAAAGAGAAAGAGUGUCAACCCACACAUGAAUAGAAUUCGUGAUCAGAUCAUUCCCUACAGCAUUUUUCUUCACAGAACAUAAGUCUGAAAGACUGACAGCUUUUUACAAAGAACAGCCUUUAACUUCUACUGGGUGAGGCAAAUAGCACUGAGAUGUCAGUGCUUUGUGACAUCUGUCCUGCUCAAGCAGUUUUCCUCUGCAGGAUUUAUGAAACUUGUGUUUGAUAACUAUUUCAAAGCUUUGUUCUCAGGGGAUUGUUUUAUUAAGGCUAUGUCACGUUCUCAUGUGAAAUGUGUGUUUAGUGAUUAUAUUGACUGACCCUUUUACUCUAUAGUUUUCCAAAGCACAAAAUUAAUCUGCAUGAACUUGACUCAACAUGAAGCCAAUCAUAAAGAAAAUGAAAGUUCUCGAAUAGGGAUCAAACUUCUUUGGAGUAGAAAAACAUAGCUGAAGAGAGAACUAUGUUUCUUUAAUAUGUAAUUCCAAAAGCAGUACUAUUCACAUUUUAAACAUUUAAAAGGUUUACAAAAAGAAAAAGAAAAAUGAAGUGUCAAGGGAAAUUCAUAGCACUGAUUUGCAGACACGUUGUUUCCCUGUAAUUACAUCUUCCUUUGGCAGUAGGGUUGCUCCUGGUGUAUGUUCCGCGUUCAUCUGUAUUAAGCGAAUACCUUAAAAUACUCCAUGUUGUGGUGAUGUUUCAAACUCCUGAGGAACUAACUGGUGAUAAUGCAAACGACCCUUAAACUCAAUUUAGAAUGUUGCUUUGACAAUUGACUAAACCUUACCGUUCUCUAUCUUUGACAUGAAAAGGUUACAGCUGAGGAUUUAGUUGAACUCUGGAUGCCUCAUAAUUAGAACUAAUACAAGGCACCGUGCAGACAGUCAUGUUCAAGACCUUGAACGUCACGAUAAUUUGCAGUGUAGUUAAUGAGAAGAACACAGAGUUCGAUGUCACAGAAACAAAAGCUAAAAGUCUCAAUCCUCUCACCUAUUAGUAGGGUGGCUCUAGAUAAUUUAAUUAAUCUCUUUCAGCUGUGGGUUCUUCAUCUAUUAUGAAGGUGCACUAUUUGCCAGACAACUGAAGAGAACAAAGAGGAGAAUGGGAAAGUUCCAGAGACUUUUCACAUAAACAGGCAGAAGAUGCGUUCUUAAGCUGGUAGCCCAGAAGACAAAACGUUAUCAGUAAUUACUAAAAACAGGGACAAAUCCAGAAAAAGGCCAAAUCCCAAAUUGUGUUAACUGCAUUGCAGGAACAAAGCAAAAGCAACAGCUGGAAUGAUAAAAAUAAUGUCAGAUGCGUGUUAAAGUCACAAUAGAAGAAAGGUGAUGUACUUGUCAGUGUUCAAAACAAUUUUUCAGACUGCCUUGUGCCAUAUUCCACACCCCGGAUUUUUUAAAGGGGCUGAGAACCAUUUCUGACACUUUGAAACAGGUUUUGCAAAGUAAAAUGAAAAUGAAAAAUACCAAUCCUGCCUAGCACCCAGGGUUAUUUGGAGUAACAAGGGAAAUAAUGCAAAUGCAAGCAUUCUUAUGUAAAUUAACGUGCUGUAGCAUCAAGUGCUCAUUAGUAUGUGCUCAUUGCUCUAAUCAAGUAUACUUAGGAGAGGGACUUGACUUACCUCAUUAUCCUAGAAAAUAUAAAUGUAAGUAGCACAACUUAAUGGCUAUUCUAAGCAAAGUUUUACCUUUACUGCAUGUAUUAGACAAGAUUCAGCAUAAAAUCAUAGCAUCUGUGUUUAUAUUGUUUAGGAUUUUUAUAUAUUAUAUUUUCUCUGAUGAAUAUUUACUUUGAUCUGUUUGUUUAUUAUAUAACUCAGCCUUUCUUACACUGGAUAGGGAUUGAUAAUAUAUGACAAAGUUGGCCACAUUGAAUAAUAAUGCUUUGUAGUGACGUAAGGCUGUUUCCUGCUUCUAGACACCUCCGCACCACUUAUGGAAGGGUGCACAGUGUAGUGACUGAUAAGAAUAGGUCUCACAUCUCGUAGACAUGGGUUAAACUCUAGUUCUGCCACUUGUUAUCUAGGUAGACUUUGCAUGUUAUAUUUCCGAGUUUCAGUAUCUUCGUCUGUAAAAUGGAGAAAAUCAUACCUAGAAAAAGAAGACAAAGGGGGUAGUCACCAGGUCAGCCCUCACCAGCUUCCCCUUAGGAAUCCACAGGUGGCUUUUACCUCAGUGAUUCCAUUAUACUCAAGUUUUGACCUUCAGUCCUGAAAGCUCGGAAAGGAAAACUCACCAGGGCCCCAGAGUACACUGAUCUCAGCAAUCCUGAAUCAAGCUAUCAAAACAAAGUAGACAAGCAUAGACUGUUGUACAUUAAGGUUUUUUCCCCCAACUUUAAAAAUUAAUCUCUUCUAGCUUUAUUGAUAUAAUUGACAAAUAAAAGUUAUAUAUAUUUAAGAUAUACAGAGUACUGUUUUGAUAUAUAUAUAUAUAUAUAUAUAUAUAUAUAUAUAUAUACACACAUUGUGAAAUGAUUACUGCCAUCAAGCUAAUUCGUAGGCAAAAACCUUGAAAUACUCCAUGUUGUGAUGAUGUUUCAAACUCCUGAGGAGCUAAUUAGUGAGAAUGCAGAUGAUCCUUGGACUUGGUUUAGAAUGUUGCUUUGACAGUUUACUGAAUCUUCUGUUCUCUGUCAUCGACAUGAAAAAGUUACAGCUGAGGAUUUGGUUGAUCUCUGGAAGCAUCAUUAUUAGAAGUAACACAUGGCACUGUCCAGUCAUGUUCAAGACCUUUAAUGUAAGUGUCAUUUGCAGUGUACUUAAUGCCAUUAAUCAAAGGCAAUGGCAAAACCACAACUACUUUUGCAUCAACUUAAUAACAUAUGCAUCACCUCACAUUGUUACGGUGUGUGUGUGUGUGUAGAACAUUUAACAACUACUCUCUUAUCAAAUUUCAAGUGUGUAAUACAGUAUCAUCAGCUACAGUCACCAUGUUUUACAUUAAUUUUAAUGAGCGCUUUCUGCCAUGUGAACUUGUCUACUGCAAUCCCUCUCUGAAGGUGAGCUAAAUGGAAAGCCAACUGAACAGAAAGGUUCUUGCUAAGUGAGGAAUUCGAACAAGGAAAGUUGGUUGUUUAUUUGGGGGUAGAGCACAACUCUAUCUUUCUCCACAUAGCUACAUUUGUCAUAUGGACAUAAUACUCUGGCCAGUCUGAAGGGCUCCAGCUUAAGAGUAUUAGAUGAGCAUUCUCGAUAUUUGCCUCCAGGUUUUGUCUUUUUCUAAGCCUCUACUCUUAUGAGUUUCCCUAUGGAUUGACAGAACAUUUAAAGGAAGGCAUGCAACUUUCAAUUAUUUUACAACAGUCUUGCAGGCCUUUUCUUUUUAGGAUAAUGUUUCCAAUUGUGUUGUGGAGCUCUCAAAAGGCAGAUUUAUCUCUCUCCAUUUGUGAUUUGUGGUGCACUCUUUGAUGACAUGGUCAAGAAUUGGUAAAAAUAUCUAUUUCACAUUGCCUGGCUGUUAGUAGCUAUUCAAUGAAUGUUAGUUUAUUAAUUGUAUUUUCCCUUGGCAUAAAUUUAUCUUUGGCUAUAUCCCUACUCUACCCUCAAAGACAUAACAAUCAAAUUUUGUUUACCAUCUCAUGAUAGUUUUCCUAUUGAUGUCGGUUACUACUAAAACUGCCCAUUUCUCUGCAGCUGCUUCCGCUCCAUCAGCCUAACAGAAGAAUCUCUGAAAUUUUGACAGCAUACUUCCAUGGAUUGCAGGAUUAGAAAGAUGGAGAAGAGUAUUUUAAAGAAGUUUUGUAGGAACUGCAGGAGAGGAUUUGGGUAUAUUUAUAUUCCAUAGUAUAAGUGUAAUGCUUUGUUCCUGCUCUUUCAUUACUUCUAUUAGAAACAGACAAGAAGAGAGACAUGGAAAUGACUAAAGCACCAAAGAAAAGGCAUUUUUCACAUUUCAAAGUCACAGGUAAAAACCAUUUAUCACUUUCAUGUGGAAACAUUCUUCCAAACUGUAACUAAUCAUGGUGUCUCUUACUGUUUCCACCGACUUCUGCAGCUGCUAAAACACCUUUGCCACAGCUCCAACACCCAAACCAUGCCUUUGCAUUUCUUCAGUUUCUAAAUGGGAAUACCUUCUUUUUUAGGCCUUUGUUGUAUUAAUUAAUAAUUAAGAAUCCAGUGGCUGGCAAACAGGCAAGAAACUGUAUGAACAGAAGAUAACCAACUUAGCAGCAGCAGAGUAAGCCUCCAAAAAGCAGCAAGAUCUUCGAAAGUGGCUGGGAAAGCUCCCAAAUGAGUAGGCUUCAGUCUCCCACCAUCAACGCCUCAGACUGGGGGUGGAUUACACUAGGCAAGGAUACAGAGAACGUAAUAAUUAGGCCCAAAUCUGCCCAGUAGGAAUUGACCAUGGUAGUGAUGGCUGGCAAACAAUGACUUUAGUGGAAACUAAGAAAUGAGAAUCAUCAGAGAAACAACCACUCACACAACAGAAGCAUGAAAUUUUUCUUCAUGCAAAGCCAUUGGAGGACACUCUCUAAGAUGUAUCAUCAAAUAGUGUUGAGUUUUAAGUCAUAGUACAUUUUUUGUGUUUUGAAAUACACAUAACUAAUUUUCUUAUGUGAUAAAAGUUUAUGUUACUACUGGGAAUUUAGAAAGAUAUUAUCAGCCAAUUAGACUACCCUGGAAGAAACAUUCUGCCGAAGUAGCAACUGGGCAUGUUGGGAAAACGCUGAUUUAAAAUUACAUAGAUUUCUAGAUCCCACUUCGAUUAAAACAACACAGUCUUGGUAAAAUCACUCAGCAAUCCUGGAUCUUGAGUUCCUUUACUUAUAAUUAGGGAACCACACCAGAAAAUCCAACUCAAGGAUUUUAUAACGUUUGUCUUCCAGUGAUUUUACUACUGAAAUAAAGGGGUGUAAUGGUGGGUUGGAAGAAUGAGAGAGCCAUUUUAUUUUAAAUCCUGAGAAUAAGUUUGGUGCUACCAGUAAUCAAAAAAUGGCUUACUCAUUUAAAGUUCACUCAUGUUGAUCCAGGUCACAUUUAAUAGAUUCCUGAAUGUCACAAAAAGGCCUGAGCAGGUUGAAGUUGAAUCUACUUUUCCUUCAAAGUCAGUAAGAACUGGAAUAUAGAGUUCUCAAACAGAAAUGGAUGAAUAGAAUAAUAAAUUCACCGGGUAAAUGACAAAGUGAAGCACAACUGCCUAAAGCAAAUAUUUUUUAGGGCUGAGAAUUAUUCUAGGAUUUAUAAUGACCAAACUUGCCCUGGAGAACAGAGAUUGCUUCUAUCAUGUCACCUGAGACUACCCUAAUCGGGGGGCAUUUUCAGAAGAGUAAAAUCUAAAGUCGCAAAGCUUACUACAUGAGAAAUCAAGAGAAGUGAAGAGAAAACGGUAUAGCAAAAACAGACCUGAGUUUCAACCUUCAGGCUUUUGCUAUUAAUAAUAUCCUGCAUUAUGAAUGCAGUGUUUUUGUUUGUAUGUGUGUGUGUGUGUCUUUACAGAAAGCAUUCAUCUACCUUAUGUCAUUUAAUCCUCACAGCAGUCCUGUAAGUUAUGUUCAGCAAGCACUAAUUUUAAAGGAGGAAACUGGCUUUCAGAAAUGACAAUGGCUUGUGUAAAUGAUGGGGAAAGCCACAGUCAAUAGACAGUAUGACCCUUGUACCAACUGCCACAGAGGUUUUAGGCUGAUUUCUCAUCUAGAGCAAUGGUCUCCAACCUUUGGCACCAAGGAUUAGUUUUGUAGAAGACAAUUUUUCUACAAUCUGGAGAUGUGGCAGGCGAUGGUUUGGUGAUGAUUCAAGUGCAUUACAUUUAAUGUGUACUUUGUUUCUUUUGAUUAUUAUUACAUUGUAAUAAAUAAUGGAAUAAUUAUACAACUCACCAUAAUGUAGAGUCCUGAGCUUGUUUUCCUACAACUAUGCAGUGCCAUCUGGGGGUGACAGGAGACAUGAAUGAUCAGCAAGCGUUAGAUUCUCAUAAGGAGCACACAACGCAGAUCCCUCGCAUGCUCAGUUCACGGUAGGGUUUGCGCCCCUAUGAGAAUCUAUGCCACCUCUGCUCUGACAGGGGGCUGAGCUCAAGUGGUAAUGUGAGCAAUGGGUAGUAGCUAUAAAUACAGAUGAAGCUUCACUGGAUCACCGGCUACUCACCUCCUGCUGUGCAAUCCGGUUCCUAAAAGCCAUGGGGUAGGGAGUAGAUGUGUGGCUUUCAGUUUUUUUCGGCAGAUAAAAAUACAGAUGCAUUAGUUGCAAGUGCAGUGUAAAAGGCCUAGAAUCCUGUCUGUUGGACCUUGCUUCCAAUCCCAAAUGCGUUCUUCCCACCUGGUCAAUGCUUGAAGCUAUUUGAAAGCAAAGGUAAUUUCUAAAGACCUACAGAAAUUUAACAUUCUAUGAUUCUCUGGAAGGAAAAAAAUGCAAAAUUUUUAUUUGAUUACAUAUCAAUAUAAAACUCAGGAUUACAAACUCUGAAAUGCUUAUUUUAUCUCCCUUUUCAACUCCCAAGCAUUUCUUUAGAUUCCAAUGGGCAAGAAAUUAAACACCUCCCUUUUCUCUUCCCAAAAAGGCAUUUGUUUACAUUAGGGAGAUAACGUUUCUUUUUGCCUUUCUGGAAGGGAGGGGGAGUUGUUGCUCGCAUGCAGCCUUCAGGAUUUCAAUUUUGAGGUUCCAUUCCCAUGGUGAAGAAAGCCCCUUUGCCCAUACAGGCCUGUCCAUCUAUGGCAAUGUAAUGAGAAAGGGAAAGAACUGCAAAGAGGAGCUGAUGUGGUUAUUGCUUUAAGUAGUAACAAUCUGCCUUUGCCCAGAAAUGCGUACUAAUAAUAUAGCUAUUAGAAAUGUAUUAUAGAUAUCCUAGAUAAUGGUGUAGAUGCAGAUACAAAUAUCAAAAUAGUAAUGCAUAUUGUGAUAAUACCCUUUAUUCAUAGUAUGUGAACAUGUGAAAUGUUUGUUUAUCAAACUUUCCAUCUUGACUAUUUGAAAGUAGAAUAGUGCACAGAUCAUAGGCACUAAAACCAUGAAGGUUCUUCAAAGGACUUGAUCCACAUAUACAAGUUUUUGCACUGGAAGCCAGAGCUACUUGGUUGGGUCUAUAGAGGAAGUCUUUACCACCCAAAAUAGCCUUGACAACUUAGGAAAAAUAUUUCGGUUAUUUACAAUACUAAAACUGUCAAUCAUGUUUAGGUGUGGGGCAAUAAAUUGUAAAUUUUUCUUUUGCUUCUGAUAAAUAUAGACAGUGUUCACAGGCAGUUACUGUUCAAUCCUGGCUUUUUGCACAAAUUGUCUUGACUUGUCUACUAAGGUAUCAAGAUAUUCAAGAUUUUUCUGGACAAAACAUUCCACUUCAGAGAUCAUAAGCUUGGUUAACACUGGCUUGGUAUUUUAGAGACCAACCAAAAUGCAAAGUGCAUCAACUCAUCCUAUGAACAGUACCAAGUGCAUGUGAUGAUAACAUUGGAAACACGCACACACUUCCUGAUGAUGGGAUGUUGAGUUCCUUCUGCUGUGAACAACCUCCUCAUGAACAACUUGGGGAACUAUCUGAAAACAUUUUGAAGAUUAUGAAGAAACACUAGGAAGUCAAUAUAAAAUCUUUAUCAGAUUUUUUUUUCUUAACUUGAAGACAGCAGUUAGAAAAAGAACACUUUAAGAACAUUAUGAAAUAAAUUGAUAAUUACAGAACAGUACAUUUUGGACCACACUUCAGCAAGCCUCUCAAAACAAAAAUCUGUUUAGUAAAAUUUAUUGAAGAAUUUUGAUUUGAAAUUAAUGUGAUUUGAGACGUACCAUGCUAGUUAAUAUUUAUUAAAACUGAUAUUAUCUUGAGUUGAAUUUAAUUUUCCUCUGAAAUUAAGUCAUUAAGUUACAUAUAAUUUUAUUAGUGACAGCUCAUAAAGAAUUUCAUUCUUCUCAUUGUAGAAUGCAUUUUAUGCAUUGAUUAAAUGUAGUAUAUUUUAUUGUUUUGCUUAAAUAUAAAAUGUAUUUAAAUUA